rnacentral:rRNA from 1 species
GACGAACGCUGGCGGCGUGCCUAAUACAUGCAAGUAGAACGCUGAAGGAGGAGCUUGCUCUUCUGGAUGAGUUGCGAACGGGUGAGUAACGCGUAGGUAACCUGCCUGGUAGCGGGGGAUAACUAUUGGAAACGAUAGCUAAUACCGCAUAACAGUAGAUGUUGCAUGACAUUUACUUAAAAGGUGCAAUUGCAUCACUACCAGAUGGACCUGCGUUGUAUUAGCUAGUUGGUGGGGUAACGGCUCACCAAGGCGACGAUACAUAGCCGACCUGAGAGGGUGGUCGGCCAGACUGGGACGGAGACACGGCCCAGACUGCUACGGGAGGCAGCAGUAGGGAAUCUUCGGCAAUGGACGGAAGUCUGACCGAGCAACGCCGCGGGAGUGAAGGAGGUUUUCGGAUCGGAAAGCUCUGUUGUAAGGGAAGAAAGAGUGUGAGAGUGGAAAGUUCACACUGUGACGGUAGCUUACCAGAAAGGGACGGCUAACUACGUG